GACGAACGCUGGCGGCGUGCUUAACACAUGCAAGUGGUGCGACGAACCAGGGCUUGCCCUGGGGCAAAGCCGCGAACGGGUGAGUAACACGUGAGUAACCUGCCUCGAUGACCGGGACAACCCGAGGAAACUCGGGCUAAUACCGGAUGUAGUGCACGGACUUAAGUCUGUGUACCAAAGGAAGCUUCGGCCUCCGCAUUGGGAGGGGCUCGCGGCCCAUUAGCUUGUUGGUGGGGUAACGGCCUACCAAGGCAACGAUGGGUAGCUGGUCUGAGAGGACGAUCAGCCACACUGGGACUGAGACACGGCCCAGACUCCUACGGGAGGCAGCAGUGGGGAAUCUUGCGCAAUGCGCGAAAGCGUGACGCAGCAACGCCGCGUGGGGGAAGACGGCCUUCGGGUUGUAAACCCCUUUCAGGGGGGACGAAGGUUCACCGGUUAAUAGCCGUGUGGAUUGACGGUACCUCCAGAAGAAGCUCCGGCUAACUACGUGC
rnacentral:rRNA from 1 species